ACUUCAACAUACGCUCCAAUUAUCUGCGGCAGCUCAACAGAAACAGACUACCUAACGACUUAUCCGUGGGACGUGACAACAGGAAGCCCAUCGGAACCUUCUAGCUGUGGCGGUUUAAUUAGCGGGUACAGCGGCAUCAUCGAGUCACCAAACUACCCAAACGAAUACGGAAACUGGCUUGAUUGCCGCUAUUUAGUCCAAGUACCAUGCGGCUAUCGAGUGCGAUUGUACUUCAAUUCUUUUAACACAGAAUCGGGUUACGAUUUCGUUGAAGUUCAUGACGGACCAUCCACAACUUCUACC